rnacentral:lncRNA from 1 species
AUGAUCACAAGCAGGAUUGGAGCCUGCGCUUCUGAGACCUUGGGAACCAGGGCUCUUCUCCUAUGGCCACACUGCCUUGUUCUGAGAUUGAUGGAGUCUCCGCCGCCAGCAGGCAGCCAGCGACAGAGACAGGGACAGAAUGACCCGCCUCGGAAUCCAAACUCAAGGGUUGCUGCAGAUGAAUUACUGCCAACUUCGUAAGACAAACUGGACAAACUCCCAUCAUGCCGGGUGAUGAAACAAUUUCCAGCUCAUUCAUCCACUCAAGCCUUACCAGGUGUGUUGCAUGCUAAAAGGAUGCUACAGUAACCAAGUGCCUUCAGCUAUUCAAUUCAGGAUACACAUACAAGCUAGAAGACCAAAGCAAAGGGGAUAAAUGAAUGUUUGUUGAUAUUGAAAGCCAUGGGCCUUGAGACCUUGAGAAUUAGCCAAGCAGAAAAUAAAUAAAUAAAAAGGCAAUUUGUUUUAGAUAGG